rnacentral:lncRNA from 1 species
AUCUUCAAUACUUUGCAUCAAUGAUAAGUUAUCCCUUAAUGUGUCAUAUUUUUGAGUCUUUUUGACCUAUAAAAAAUAGUCCUCAAGAUGUUCAUUUUGUACAUAUUACUAACCACUAAUUAUACUUCACUAACUUUGUGUAUCAUUAACCUUUGUUAUUGUGAUUUUGGUACUACUAACUUGUUGUUUAUUUUAAUGUCAUUAGAUCCACU